rnacentral:rRNA from 1 species
CAGUAGCCGCGGUAAUACGUAGUGUGCGAGCGUUAAUCGGAAUUACUGGGCGUAAAGCGUGCGCAGGCGGUUUUGUAAGACAGAGGUGAAAUCCCCGGGCUCAACCUGGGAACUGCCUUUGUGACUGCAAGGCUAGAGUACGGCAGAGGGGGAUGGAAUUCCGCGUGUAGCAGUGAAAUGCGUAGAUAUGCGGAGGAACACCGAUGGCGAAGGCAAUCCCCUGGGCCUGUACUGACGCUCAUGCACGAAAGCGUGGGGAGCAAACAGGAUUAGAUACCCCAGUAGUCCCUGUCUCUUAUAA